rnacentral:rRNA from 1 species
UACGGAGGGCGCGAGCGUUAAUCGGAAUUACUGGGCGUAAAGCGCGCGUAGGCUGUUGUGUAAGUUGGGGGUGAAAUCCCACGGCUCAACCGUGGAACAGCCCUUGAUACUGCGCGACUUGAAUCCGGGGGAGGGUGGCGGAAUUCCAGGUGUAGGAGUGAAAUCCGUAGAUAUCUGGAGGAACAUCAGUGGCGAAGGCGGCCACCUGGACCGGUAUUGACGCUGAGGCGCGAAAGCGUGGGGAGCAAACAGG